CUCAAGAACCAUUGCUGGGGAACUAAUGCAGUUAUUUGAUGGGCCAAGGCACAGCUCAGCACUCUUGGGCUAAAUACUGUAACCCUGGAGGAUUGGAUCAGACCCAUGGCUUUGUUCUCUGGCUUCUUGAGGUUAAGCAUCUGCUGUGGUGGAAGGGCCGAGGUGUUCCUGUCUUCUGGCAAAAGCACUACAACACGGGGUGACAGCAAAAGCACUCGAUCUGGGUGAUGGCAGUGGGAUCAGCAUGUGUACAUUAGCAGCAGCAAGGUGGUGGUGGUAUCCACACAUGCACAUGCCAGAUAUAUAAUUUGUAAGCUAUAAAUGUACUUAACACCAGAGACCCAAAAUAUGUGAAGAAAAGACACAUAAUUGAAGAGAGAAAUAGACAAUUAGAUAUAAUUCAAUACUCCACAUUCAAUAGCGAAUAGAAUAACUAGGCAGAUCAAUAACAAAAUAGAAUACAUGAAUAACACAACAACAGUAUAACAUAAUGAAACCUACUAUACACAUAAAGAACACUCCACACAACAACCGAGAAUACACAUUAUUCUCAAGUGUAUGUGGAACUUUCUCCAGGAUAUACUGUAUGAUAGGUUAUAAAACAUACCUCAAGGGUUUUUUUUAAUGAUAUAAUACAAAAUGCUUUCUCAGACUACAAUGAAAGAAAGUUAGAAAGUGAUAAUAGGAGAAAAUUUUGGAAAUUCACAAUUAUGUGGAAAUUUAUAAGAUAAUUGGUCAAAGAGGAAGUCACAAUGGAAGUCAGAAAACACCUUGGGAAAAAUGAAUACCGAAUCACAACACACUAAAAUUUGGGGGAUGCAGCUAAAGCAGUGCUUAGAGGGAAAUGUAUUUGUAUCUGGCUAUCUUAAAGGAAAUAAAUAUUUCAAAUCAACACUAUAAGUUUUCACCUUAUAAAAUUAGAAAAAGUAGAGCUAACCACAUCCAAAAUAAAUGAAAGGAAAUAGUGUACAUUAGAACAAAAAAUGAAAUAAAGAAUAGAAAAUUCAAUAAAGUUAUCAAUAAAACCAAAAGUUACUUCUUAGAAAAUAUAAACCUUUAAUUGACUGAUAGAGAGAAAAACACACAUAUUUGAACAAAUAGUAUAACUUGAUUGCAGAUAUAUGUAUCGCUGUAUCUUUGGUGGUAAGUUGAGGCAGUAUAUGUCUGAUCACUCUGGAUAUCUGUGUAAAAUAAAAUGCUAGGUGGAGAUGAGAAUGAUAUAUGGAUUUUUUUAUCAGUAUAAAACUUCCUUAGUAUGUACAUGGAGAAAUCAGGUAUUUGAGUUUUUCCCAAAGUUCUCUCUCUCUUUUUCUUUCUAUAAGGUGAGAUAAAAGAAGUGAUGGAGUAGGCUGAGCAUGGUGGUUCACCCCUGUAAUCCCAACACUGUGGGAGGCUGAGGUGGGCAGAUCAUGAGGUCAAGAGAUUGAGACCAUCCUGUCCAACAUGGUGAAACCCCUUCUCUACUAAAAAUACAAAAAUUAGCUGUGCAUGGUGGCGUGCCCCUGUAGUCCCAGCUACUCAGGUAGCUGAGGCAGGAGAAUCACUUGAAUCCGGAAGGUGGAGGUUGCAGUGAGCCGAGAUCACUGUCACUGCACUCCAGCCUGGCGACAGAGCGAGACUCCGUCAAAAAAAAAAAAAAAAAAAAGGAGUGAUGGAGUGUUGUUAUUAAGAAAGUUAGGCUUCAGGAUAUUGAUUAACUUGUGUAAGGAGAAAUAGCUAAUAAGUAACAGAGCUAACAUGUAAAUCUAGAGACCAUCUGACAAAAAGAAAAAUUCCAUAAACAUUUUGCCACUAUUGCUCCCACAGGAAAAGUGACAUGGCUUAACAUGACAGCUACUGCUCAAAUUUCAUCAUAUUUCUUGCUGUAUUUCCAAACACAGAUUACUUACUUUGUGGACUCCACCUGCUAUCUCAUAAAGACACUUAAGCAGCAAUGUGGAGAGGUACACCUGAAAAGUAACGGAAUCCUUACGUCAGUAAUCUGCACUAAUUUGCCAGGACAAGAACCCAGAACCCACUGAGCUGCGGGCAGUGGGAAUAAAUGGGCUGUAACACACUGCCACUUGCCAGACUAUGGAAGAAAGAGAGCUGUAACAUGCUCCUGCUUGCUGAGCUGCAGGAGUGAAGAACUGCAACAUCUAACAUCUCAGACCUUGGGACUCCUCAGGGGAAAACAAAAAUAAUAGCAGGAAGAACCUCACCAUCAGCUCAGGGGAACAGAUGGAGUGAAAAUGCUAGUGCAUCCUGUUAUUAGCCGACCUUGAAUCAAGUUAUACACCCAAUCAAUGGAAAAAGAGGAAGAGAACAAAAGAAGCGGAGAUUGCUAUAAAAGCCUCUAGGUAACUUGGAAAUGUAGCAUGAUUCAAACCUAUUUUAUACUUUUUCUAGAUAGUCCUUAGGGCCAUAAAAGCACAUUUUUGAAAUACACCAACUUAGAAAAUGAACAGAUAUGUUCCUGCACAUUGUACAGCUGCACUUACUCCCCUCCACAUGUAUACAUAUACACACAGAAACACACACACAUAUCUGCUUAAAUAUUAGGAAAAAUAUUAUAUCAAAAACAAUGAAAUACAAGGUCAUUGAAGCCCCAUGUAAAACUCUCAUGUUGCUACAUGAGGACAUUUAAGGACAGUUAACUUGGCACUCACUUAGAUUCUUCACAAAUGAAGUUUACUUUUGGAUGAAUGGGAUCAUUAAAAAAAUACUAACUGCAACAUGGUGGCAAUUAAAAAUAAAGUAACUGUGCAAACAUGAGGCAAGCUUUCAGCGCAUCUUCUACCAUGACAUUAUUAAUAGUAUGAUGUAAUACACAGGAAGAGUAAUUUCUCUAAGAUGCACAAGUGUCAAAAGUACAUCAAGUACAAAGAGCAUAAAGAUCUAUUGCUAAAAAACUAGGUAAGUUGAUACUAAAUAUCCAGAAUACAGAUAGAAAGCUGAUUGGCGAGUUCCAGGGGCUGGUGGAAGAGAGGGAGUGACUGCUUAAUAGGUAACAGGUUUUCUUCUGGAGUGAUGAAAAUGUUUUAGAAAAGAUAAAGAAGGGACCGGGCGCGGUGGCUCAUGCCUGUAAUCCUGCACUUUGGGAGGCCGAGGCGGGUGGAUCACGAGGUCAGGAGAUCGAAACCAUCCCGGCUAACGUGGUGAAACCCCGUCUCUACCAGAAAUACAAAAAAUUAGCCAGGCAUGGUGGCGGGUGCCUGUAGUCCCAGCUACUCGGGAGGCUUAGACAGGAGAAUGGCAUGAACCUGGGAGGCAGAGCUUGCAGUGAGCUGAGAUGGGCCACUGCACUCCAGCCUGGGCGACAGAGCGAGACUCAGUCUCAAAAAAAAAAAAAAAAAAGGAUAAAAAGAUAAAGAAGGGAAUGAUGGUACAAUAUAAUGAAUAUACUAAAUGUCACUGAAUUGUGGACUUUAAACUGGUUAAUUUUAGGUGAUAAAAUUUUUUUUCAAUAAAAUAUAAGUAUAAUAUAAAACAUAUAUAUGAAAUCGGUUGCAGCAGAGGCUACUUUUAGUUUAUAAAAAUAAUGUUUCUCUUGAUGUCCCCUUAAAUUACAUACAUAGCUGUACCUGUAAAACCCUGUAGGCAACCUAUUAACCUUUGAAUUAGUAUCUUUAUCUCCCCAUUAUUCUUCUCACCCAAUAAGUUCUCAAGUCUGGUUGAGUCUAACAAUGCACCAAAGGUAGAAUGCUUGCUCUUUAAUUUAAUACUCCAUCAGUCUGAAUUCAACUCCUCCAAUUUAGUGACUGGUGAAGCAAGAGAUUGAGAUGGGAGAGGAAGACCAUCUUGCAUUGCCUUAUUUUCCUUAGGUAUCCAAGCUCUCUACCUUUGCCCUUGCCUACUCCUUACUUGUCCAGUAAUCCUGUAAUGAUAAUAUAAUGAAUUAUUACAUGGUACAGGAAAUAAAAUGAAAUACUUUCAAAGAAUGUUUUUCUUCAUAACAAUCCAUAGAAAAAAAUAAAAUCUUUAUAAAAGAACACGUGUUCUCAAAAUCCAGAAGAAAGGAAUGGCAUUUAAUCUCAUCUAGUACAGUUUUUGAGCUCAUCUGUGUAGAAUUUAUAUAAUGGCCUCUUAAGGAUGUUUAGAUUUUAUAAUAGCUGAAACAAGGCCAUGUAAUUGUUUUGUCUUGAGAAUAAACAAACAAAUGUACAUGAAAACUAAAUGAAGAAAAACAUCAACGCAAAUAAUACAUUGUAUAGAAUGUUAGAGCCAAUGAGAUCUGAGAGACUAUUAAAAUCUAAACAAAUUGUUAAAAGGAAUCAUCUGACAUCCUUUAUCAAUCUGGUGGUAAGACAGCCUGAAGUAAAAAUAAUUAUUUUCUUAUUUCAGUAGAGCGCUUCCCUUACCUGAACAAUAAUCUAUUACAGUUCUGCAGGAAUUUAUGGUUUGCAAAGUAAUGCACUAACCCUGCCACCUUGGAAUUUAUGACAACUUUUGAGUCAGUCAUGACCAAUAUUGCAAAGAUGAACAAGGUGAAGCAAAUCUGACUUUUUUCUCCAUGCACAAUUUUUGAGAACUAACAAAUGAAUAAAAAAUCUCAGAUAAAUUAAGUUGUUUGCAAGACAUCAUAUAACUAGUAAAUGGUACACAUUUUAAUUUAGGUUUUCUGUCUUCAAUUGCAUACCUUUCACAACACCAUGCCCACUAUUGACACAGGUAGGGAUAUUUUCCCCCAAUGCUUAUCAUGUCUCAUUAUUUGAUGGGAUCAUUUUAUGACAGUGAUGAGGCUUUAAGUGAAUAUUUUGUUUAAUCAGAAAAAACUUUAAAUCAGACCCAAACCUGACUUUACCAUCAUUAGCACUAAAUAAUUAAUUAGCUGAAACUUCAUCUAAAAGUUAGCUGAAAAUUAGCUGAAAAUUAGCUGAAAAUUCAGCUAGAACUUUUUGCUUAAUUACUUAUAAUACAUGAAUUUAUUAGAAUAUAAAUAAUGAAUAUCUAUAAAAAGGAAAGAAGCUUGCAGUUAUUUCUUGUCAACAAAUUACAGUAUAUUUUAAUUAUAAGAAAUAUGAUGAGUAUUUAAUCCCUAUUUUUGAAAUGAGGAUGCUGAGAUUCACGGGUUUGUUGUGAAGUCUACAUAACAUAAUGGACAAAAGCACUCAUCACAUUAUCUGGCACAUGAAAUAAUAUAACUAUUUUCAAUGGAUGUUCUCAGUAUAGGUGCCAUUCUUGAGCAGAAAGAGUAUACAUUACACUCAAAGUUCUUAGACUACAUUUCAUCAAAGGCAAAACCAAAAAUCUGAAUUUUUCAUGAUUAAAAAUACAGUUAGUUUAUAAUAUAUUUCAGUAAAUUCAUACUCAGAUAAUUAAACUUACCUAAAUAUAUUUAAAAGAACUAAAGUAGAAAAACAUAAAUAGGAAAAAUCUAGUUAUACUAACCAAUAUAUUUUAUGUCAGUUUGAAAAGAUGGAAAAAAUGUGUACCACUAUUUGAAAAAAGUGUUACAUAAGAGUCUCAGAAAAAUAAAGUAUUUUCAACAGCAAAUUUGUUUUUUUUUAAUUAGGAAAUAUUACAAAACUCUUCCUAAUACACUACUUGAAAUAAUGAUAGACUAUAAAGUAAAUCAAAACUUAACAAAAUAUGUAGUACUAAAAAAAAAGAGGCAGUCUCAAAUUGUUCUUAUUUCUACUUAAAACCUCUCAAAUUAUGUCAUAGGUAAGAUUAUUAAUAUCAAUACACUAUUAGCUACUUUAUAGACAUUUGAUUUUUAACUAUAUAUAUAUACACACAUGCACAUAUACAUACAUAUAUAUACACACAUAUGUACAUACAUACGUAUGUAUAUGUAUAUGAGGAAGGAAGAUUGUUUUAGGCUGGUAGCUCUAGACUGACCUGGGCAAUAUAGCAAGACCCCAUCUCUGCAAGAUAAAUAAAUAAAUAAAUAAAUAAAUAAAUAAAAUAUCUUACUGAUCCACAUCAUCUCCAACUAUUAUUAUUUUAAUUGUGCCAGUCAAAUGGCAAAAACACUGCAAAAAAUUUUGCAAAUUUACAAAUAAGUUUAUAGUUCAAUGAAAUUUCACCGAGUAAACACAUACAGAACCACCAAGCGGAUCAAAAAAUAGGUUCUUACAGCAGGAUAUAAAACACCCCUGCCUCUCAUUACUACCAUCCACUAAAAGAUAACUGUAUUCUGUUAUCAAACAUCAUUGAUUAUUUUUACUUAUUUCAAUAUUACAUUACAGAAAACAUACAGCGUGCAUAUUUUUAUCUGUUUUGUUCAACUGUAUGUUUGUCUUUCACUAGGUAUGAAUCAUUCUUACUAUUUCAUGUGUCAGGCAUCAUUUGUGCUUUAUGUUAUUUUAUAUGAUGACUAUUGGUUUGACUGUUGAGACAAAUUUGGGAGUUUUAGUUAUUGGCUACCAGAUAAGAAUUUAUGUUGGAUACAUACAUAUGAGGUGACUUGCUGGGUCUUGGGAAAUGAUGAUCCAGGUUUUAUAGAUAUUAUCAAAAGUUUUCCAAGAUGCUUGAGUAAUGUACUUUUCAUAGUAAUUUGAAGAAAUUCCUUAUAUAUAUUUGGAAUACUAGUCCUUUGUCAGAUACAUGCAUUGCAAAUAUCUGGUCCCUUAUUGUC
rnacentral:lncRNA from 1 species